GACGAACGCUGGCGGCGUUCCUAAUACAUGCAAGUUGAGCGCUGGAGGGUGGUACUUGUACCAAUGGGAUUAGCAGCGGACGGGUGAGUAACGCGUGGGGAAUCUGCCUUUGAGCGGGGGAUAACAUUGGGAAACGAAUGCUAAUACCGCAUAAAAACUUUAAACACAAGUUUUAAGUUUGAAAGAUGCAAUUGCAUCACUCUAAGAUGAUCCCGGGUUGUAUUAGCUAGUUGGUUAGGUAAAGGCUCACCAAGGCGAUGAUACAUAGCCGACCUGAGAGGGUGAUCGGCCACAUUGGGACUGAGACACGGCCCAAACCCCCACGGGAGGCAGCAGUAGGGAAUCUUCCGGAAUGGACGAAAGUCUGAACGAGCAACGCCGCGUGAGUGAAGAAGGUUUUCGGAUCGUAAAACCCUGUUGGUAGAGAAGAACGUUGGUGAGAGUGGAAAGCUCAUCAAGUGACGGUAACUAACCAGAAAGGGACGGCUAACUACGUG
rnacentral:rRNA from 1 species